rnacentral:rRNA from 1 species
UGAUGUGAAAGCCCACGGCUCAACCGUGGAGGGUCAUUGGAAACUGGAAAACUUGAGUGCAGAAGAGGAAAGUGGAAUUCCAUGUGUAGCGGUGAAAUGCGCAGAGAUAUGGAGGAACACCAGUGGCGAAGGCGGCUUUCUGGUCUGCAACUGACGCUGAUGUGCGAAAGCGUGGGGAUCAAACAGGAUUAGAUACCCUGGUAGUCCACGCCGUAAACGAUGAGUGCUAAGUGUUAGGGGGUUUCCGCCCCUUAGUGCUGCAGCUAACGCAUUAAGCACUCCGCCUGGGGAGUACGGUCGCAA